rnacentral:rRNA from 1 species
AUUAUUUGUUGGAGCACUACCUUUACAUUAUCAAUUAUACGUGAAUUGAAUGUUUUUUUAAUGUAAAAAGCAUAUUUGGAUGAUGUAAAUUAUUUAUCUAUCACUUUUUGACGAUGUACUUUACAUAUUGGAGAUGCUGCUUAUAGAAGCUUCGGAUAAGUUCAUUUUUUCUGCAGCAGCCGCAGUCAACAGAGCAGCACAGGCGGCUAGAGUUUAAUCCCCACACGGCAUCAGAUGGCCGGCGCGGGCUCGUCGGACGCGGAGGCGGAGCUGCGGCGGGGCUUCAAGGCCUUGGCCGUGACGCGGCCCGACCCGGCGGCUGCGGUGUACGAGGUGCGCCUCAGCCGCCCGGCGCAGCUCAACGCGCUCAGCCCGGACUCCUUCGCGGAGAUCCCGCGCGCCAUGGCGCUGCUCGACCGCAUCCCCGCCGCGCGCGCCGUCGUGCUGUCCGCCGCGGGCCCCCACUUCUGCGCGGGCAUCGAGCUCGGCGGGCCCGGGAACCCGCUCACCGCGCCCCCCGCCCGCGGCGCCGACCCCGCGGCCAUGGCGGAGGAGCUCCGCCGCGCGAUCCUGGGCAUGCAGGCCGCGCUCACCGCCGUCGAGCUGUGCCGGAAGCCCGUCAUCGCGGCCGUGCACGGCGCCUGCGUCGGCGGUGGCGUCGAACUGGUGGCCGCCUGCGACAUACGCUGCUGCUCCAAGGACGCCACCUUCGUGCUCAAGGAGGUGGACAUGGCCAUCGUCGCCGACCUCGGCGCGCUGCAGCGCCUGCCGCGGAUCGUCGGCUACGGGAACGCGGCGGACCUCGCGCUCACCGGCCGCAGGAUCACCGCCGCGGAGGCCAAGGAGAUGGGGCUCGUCACCAGGGUGUUCGAUUCCAAGCAGGAGCUGGAUGCCGGUGUUGCGAAGAUUGCCAAAGAAAUAUCAGAGAAGUCGGCAAACGCAGUGAUGGGAACAAAGGCAGUUCUACUCAGAAGCAGAGAUAUCACUGUAGAGCAGGGCCUGGAGCAUGUAGCGACUUGGAACUCUGGAAUGCUGAGAUCUGAUGACCUGAUGGAGGCCAUCAAAGCUUUCAUGGAGAAGCGGAAGCCUGUUUUCUCUAAGCUCUGAUGAUCAAUAUCACAGGCAGAAUUUAUAUGUGAAUCCUAGCCACUUGAGAAUAAAAUGAGAUGGUAGAAAUUAGACAAGAUAUACUAUCUCUGAAUUGGAAAACAAGUGCUUUUGUUGAUUGUAUCUUGUAUGUAUAUCAUAUAUAAAGUGAGAAUUUUCCAGAAAUUCCUUAGCAC